GAUGAACGCUGGCGGUAUGCUUUACACAUGCAAGUCAUACGGGAGCUAGUCUCGGCUAGCUUCAGUGGCGGACGGGUGAGUAACACGUGAGAAUUCGCCUUUAGGAGGGGGGAUAACAGGGGGAAACACCUGCUAAAACCCCAUAUGCCUUCGGGUCAAAAAGAGUAAUCUGCCUAAAGAGAAGCUCGCGGCUGAUUAGCUAGUUGGUGGGGUAAAGGCUACCAAGGCGACGAUCAGUAGCUGGUCUGAGAGGAUGAUCAGCCACACUGGAACUGAGACACGGUCCCAGACUCCUACGGAGGCAGCAGUGGGGAAUUUU
rnacentral:rRNA from 1 species